UUGAAUUGAUGAUUAUUUAUGUCUAUGGCUCAAUUUGGUUUAAUGGAUUGGUUGGAAGGAUAAAUGAAUCCAAACUUGAUAUUGGAGGAUGUUGUAUGAAUAUGCAUGGCAUGUGAAUGUAAUUGGAGUAUAAGAGGGUUAAAGUGACACCUUUUAUGGUGUAAUUAAGGCUUACUACUUAACCACUAGUUUGGUGAAUUCAAAUAAUUGAAUUGUGACGUUUGGUCGCUAAUACUAGAUUGCUAUAUAUGUUCAUUGUAGAUAAGUAAUCCGAAAAGACGAGAAGUCCAUUUGGGACUAGUAUUGAAGGUUGACAGUCAGGUAUGUAAAGCAUACUCUAUACCAUAUCUUUGGCAUGAAAGUGAACAAUUGUUCUAUUAAGAAAGUUUCCAAAGUUAUUCAGUAACAUGUGAUCCAUAAUGGUUUUGUAUGAUGUCCUACGUUACCAAUGAACUUGUUUCCACCCUACAAGAUGUCAAGACAUUCCAAUACUUACUUGUUUUCCAAAUCUUACAUGUUUAUUGCACUAAUGAAUGUCAGAAGGUAUCCGGUUACUCGAACAAGAUCCAUGUGCUAUUAAUGACUCCAAAACGUUUCAUUGAUAUACCAAUAAGUUCCUACUUCAUUGUUAUGGCAUUGAUGACUCCAAAACACUUUAUUGAUGUGCCAAUGAGUUCUUACUUCAUUGUUAUUGCAUUGAUGGUCUAUUUAUAUGUCUCUUAUUGAUGUAUCAUUGUUUCAAAGUAUCCAAGAUGCGGUGGCGACCGAAAUAACAAUCUCAAAGAUUAAUUGAACUAAGUGAUGGAAGUUCUCUCUUAUCGGGUGGUAUCCUAGGGGCAUAAGCCUAUCAUGGGUCGAUCCCUAUUUAUGUGUUUAUGGGUGGUAUCCCAGG
rnacentral:lncRNA from 1 species